rnacentral:rRNA from 1 species
UACGGAGGGGGCUAGCGUUGUUCGGAAUUACUGGGCGUAAAGCGCACGUAGGCGGCUUUGUAAGUUAGAGGUGAAAGCCCGGGGGCUCAGCUCCGGAAUUGCCUUUAAGACUGCAUCGCUAGAAUUGUGGAGAGGUAAGUGGAAUUCCGAGUGUAGAGGUGAAAUUCGUAGAUAUUCGCAAGAACACCAGUGGCGAAGGCGGCUCACUGGCCCGGUACUGACGCUGAGGUGCGAAAGCGUGGGGAGCAAACAGG